UACGAAGGGAGCUAGCGUUGUUCGGAAUCACUGGGCGUAAAGCGCGCGUAGGUGGCUUUGCAAGUCAGAGGUGAAAUCCCGGGGCUUAACCUCGGAAUUGCCUUUGAAACUGCAAAGCUUGAGUACUGGAGGGGAUGGUGGAAUUUCUAAUGUAGCGGUGAAAUGCGUAGAUAUUAGAAGGAACACCGGUGGCGAAGGCGACCAUCUGGACAGUCACUGACACUGAGGCGCGAAAGCGUGGGGAUCAAAC
rnacentral:rRNA from 1 species